rnacentral:lncRNA from 1 species
ACACACACUUGCGUACAGAAACACUUGAAAUGAUAAGAUUAUCAUAGUAACACAUUCGGAUGAAAAGAUCCAGCAAGGCGCAACAUGGACUAAUAUUCGACUGAUAACUAAUUUUCUGCGUUACCGAUACUCGCAGGUUAACCUCGAAAUUAUAUUGUUAUAAUUGUAGAGAAUGUAUCUUCUGUUAUCAGUUGCUGCAAUACGGUACGUUGGAAUAAGUUUCACUUUGCUAAAUGUCAUGAAUUAAAACGUCAUCCGAUAGUAUCGGCAUUUAACUGUAUACAUAUAUAAAUACUCACAUGCAUAGUAUAUAUAUAAUAUGUGUACAAUAGAUAAACAUCACCUUAGAUAUUUUCAAUUGUCAAACAUAAUAAACAACCUUUAUCGUUGUUGUUGAUGGUGAUAUUUUAAAAUAUUUGAUUUUAUUAUCGCUUUCUUUUAAUCUUUAUUUGAUAACAUAAACACCGUUUUGUUUUUUUUUGUUUUUGUUUACUUUUCUCUACAGGUAGUUCUGUAGUUGGGGUUCGGAAUAUCAUUUGAUUGCAUUUAAAAAAAAUCCCUUGAUUUGUUGUUGGCUGAUCUACACUACACGUUAUCGAAAAUUUCAUUUCAAUUGUCGGUUAUUAGUGAACCGUCAUCGAUAACUUGAACGGAAUCGAAUUAAAUUAAUUUUUUAGAGGGGUGUGAAAGAAAAAAAAAAAAAAGAGAAGCUUUUUGUACAAUAAUUUUAACAUGAUGUGUUCCUGUUUCUUGUUUGAAUCGUAGUGGAUAUAAGGCGUUGCGUCCGAAGAUAAACUAAAUUUGUUUCGUAACUGGCUACAGUUGUUGUUUGUUAGCUCAGGUCAGCCAUGAUCUUGUGGAUCUAUGGUCAAAAGCGUUCUAGCCGUGGCCAUCUCAGUUUUUCUGGGACUGCAUUAUCUAAUGUCUUUCUUAUUUUUAAGACGAAGUAUGCUUAGGGAACAAUUUGGCUGCUAUUUCUAACUGGCUCGUGUGACCACAUAGAGGCUCACUUGGCUUUAGUUUGUGCAGCUACUGGAAGAUAUUGUUCUUGACCUAUGAAUGUCUUGUCUUCCAUUCUACUGAAUAAUAGUAAUUGGUUCAUAAACUUAAUAACUCUUGACUACUUUCCCAAACCUAUGUAUCUUCUUUCUGCAUCGUUAUGCUUCAUAUUAUUUCUGAAUUCGUCUUCCCUAAAACUGUCCAACGCUGGAUGUACAAACUUAGAAUAAUUGAACCUGGGUACUAAUUUUUUUCUAACAUAAGAAGGUUCUCGGGUUGUCAAACUAAGACAGAUCCUUAGUCGUAAUUAAUUGGAGUGGAUAAAAUACCACUAUAUGUCCUAUUGUUGGUAUUGGUGAAAAGAAGAAGAAAGAAACUAAUGAAAAUUAUUUUUACGUGGUAAUAAAUCAAGUCAAAAGCAGAAUUGUUAGUCUCGGAUAAAAUUCUUUGUGGUAAUUAGUUACGCUCUGAGUUCAAACCCCACCAAAGUUCGUUAAAAUAAAGGGUAAAUUUUGGGAAGUACACCCUCAUGCGUUUCACUAAGGAAAAACCCCACAAAAAACUUCGAAUUUUUUGAGAGGAAUCAAAUACCCUGACCUCCUGAUGUGCCGUAAACCCCUUAUUACAUAUUAAUUCACAUAGUACCAACUAGUAAAUAUAUAUUUAAUAACGAACCAUGUAAGCCACACUGUCGAAAACGUAUUUCUGUAAAAUGUUGAGGGUGGGGAGUGAAAUUUCCGAGGAGUCCACCCCCGCCCGCCCCCGUUUUCCGAACCAAAAAAAGUGUUUUGUGACAUAUUAUGAGGCCACCGUAAUUCAUUCAACGGAAAAAAAACAAGCAUUUUCCAAUGAUUCCAGGAGUGGGGGGUGAAAUUUCCGAGGAGUCCACCCCCGCCUGCCCCCUUUUCUGGACCAAAAAAAUGUUUUGGGACAUAUUAGGAGGUCACUGUAAUUCAUUCGACGAAAAAAAAAAAAAAAUUCCAAUGAUUCAGGGAGGGGAGGGCAGUUUCCCACCCAACCUUUUUUCCAAACAAAAAUAAGGGGCUUGCAGCACAUUAGGACGUCGAGACAUUUGAGUCCAUGCACAAAAUCCGAGGUUUUUUUUCUUAGAGAAAUGGGUGUGGGUGUGUACUUCCCAAAAUUUACUAAAUAAAGUAUUAGUCAAAUACAAAGAUCGAUUUAAUUGACUGUACCUUCUCUCAAAAUGUUUGGUAUUAUGACAAUGUUAGAAAUUGGUAAAUUAAAUCAAUGGAUGGUACUUCAACAUAGUUUCAACCAACUCAAUGUUACAGUGAGGUCCUCCCCUAUAUUCUGCUAUAUUUAAGAUGGGUUUUCACAUGACUAAAAUAUUGUAAACCAUAAGGCGACUAGUCAGGUGAGUUGUCCUAAUCACAUGGCUGGUAAGUACUUGAGGGAGUCAAGUCUAAAAAUCUUCAAGUAGUCUUUCUGUUUGUGAACUUCUCAAAAGCUUUUGACUGGGUACACAGAAGCAAAAUAGACCUCAAGAAGUAGCAGCAGUAGUAAUGAUACUUUAUAAGAGCUAAACUACAAUCACCUAAUUAAGACACACCAACUUAUUUGGCAUCAGUGUAGAUAGAUGCCAAGCAAAGUGAUAUGCUUUCAUUGUUCCUUAUCUUAUACCAGGACUAUGUCCUUCAUAUUUUAAUUGACAAAAUUAAAGAACUCUGCUUCACUCUAACAAAGUUCACCCUCCUCCUUAUCACUCAACUACAAUGCAAAGUAUGCUGAUGAUAUUGUUCUCUUUAAAGACAUUUUCUGCAUGACCUUAAAAAAGCACCCAAUAUGGAUUUGUAUGUCAAUUCUACAAAGACUGUAUAUCUCUGCUACUUUCAAGAAGGCUUAAUAAGGAGAAUUAUAUAAAGCCUUCUAAAAUGUAGGCGUCUUUGUAUAUUUAAGAAAUGAUAUCAUAUCCCUAAUUCAUCUCUGCAAAAAAAUGGGCUGUUCUUGAUGGCCCUAGUAUCAUUUGGAAGUCAUUGUUACCUGAUGACCUUAAGAGAUAGGUUCUGAACAGUGAUGGAAUCAUCUAUUGUAUGGGUCCACUGCUUGGACAUUUACUAAAUAUCUGAUGGCAAGGCUUACACCUGCUGUUGUAAAUAUCUCCUGGUAAAAACAUCCUGCUAAACAAAGACUGUUUAGCAGUCCUUUCACAAUCAUGAUGUCUUUGGAUAGAGUUGUAUACAGUUUGCUGGAUAUUGCUGGAGAGAUGUAUGCUGAGCAAGGACCCAUUAGUGAUAUACUGCUUUGGACAUCUUGAUAUGAUAAACAUCAUUCAGUCACUCACAAAAACCUUCAUGAACUAGCUCUGUACAAACAUGACCUCUCCAAUGCUAUGAGGGAUUAUUACUAUUUCCAUGUACUGUGUGUCCAUGUGUACAUAUAUUUUUGUGUGUGUUUAUGUGCACACAUGCAGAGAGAGAGAGAGAGAGAGACACACACACACAUCUUAAAGCUAAUUUUAGUAUUUUUUUUCUUUUAUUUGCAGGACUGAAUUUCUAUUGAUAUUUUGGCUGCUGUUUCUAAAUCUCAUCUCUUUUGGAAUAAUCAUAGUAAAUCUCCAGUUAAUGGAAGAAGAAAAGAAUAAUGCUCAACAAAUAUAUGUGUUCUAUGAUCGUACAGAAGAGUAACUAAUGGUCUCCGCAUGAUCCUUGUCUUUCAAAGAAUUAAAUACAAGUUCUUAGAACCAAGCAUUAAACAUGAAAACAGAUAAAGUAGUUGCCCUUUCAUCACAUAAGGUCACUGACAGUUUAAAAUCAAAGUUUUUCCAAUGGCUACAUUUAAAAUACAAUUGGUGGCACAGUUUUACAGAAACGUAUUACAUUAUCUAGUUUUAUAAUAAUGCAGUAUUUUUAAUUGUGCUGCUACUGUCAAGUUUUCAGAGUGGAAUUAUAUAUUACAUGUGUGAUCCUAAUAAUCUUUUGCCCACUUUAUAAACAUCUGCUCACACACAAACAAACACACAUGCAUAAUGUUUGCUAUAUUUAUAAAUGUAGCAUGUCACAUGACUUUUAUUUUAUGAGAUUGAUAUUCAUGAUUACCUUAUGGUUCUCUUCUGUUUCAGUAUUCACAAUAUACUAUUGGCAAAAAUGGUGAAAAUAUGCAUAAUAUAAACAUGAAUUUUGAUGAAAAUUUCAGUGGCAGGUCUCUUAAAAAGAAAGCUGUCAAAAGACUGUCAACUUAUAAGCUGGAGUUCUUAAACUAAUUAAUAUAACCAUUUAGUUGUAGUGACAAAGUUAUGCAAUCUGAAUGAAAAUAUUACAUAUAUAUAUAUUCAGCACAAUAAUCAAGCAUUCCUAAAGCAACAUUUCUUUUCAAAUGAAAACUUUAUGGAAAGAUUUUUUCCUAUAUGUUUAGUUUUCCUUUUUUCUUUUGUUACUUUGAAAAUUAAGAAAUCGGUAAACAAAUUUUCAACAAUUCUAAGUAUCCUAGGUGUUUGAAUAGUGGCCUUAUAUAUGAAAAUGUGCUCUUAUACAAAUAUGACUAGGAAAUCUGUAUUUGAUUAUGUACCAAUAUGACAUAUUCGUAUACACGUGAGUGUGUGUUUGUGCAUAUGUGUGCUGCUAUACUCUAUUAUAGAAUAUAUCUAUAGAAUAAUUUUUUCAUCCUGCUGUAUUUAUCAGUGAUUGUAAACAACAUUUCUGCAUAUAGUCAUGAACAGAAAAAGCAGAAAACGUGACAUACAUUGAUUAAUUUCUUCAAUUAUUGAAUUAGGAUUUCAUCAGCAGCUAUGGUCAUUUUACUGUCCAUGAACAUUGCUUAUAAAACCCACUAUCAUUAGGUGGUGUACAGUUGCUGAUAAAAAAUGAAUUCAAAGAUUAAAACUUAGCAUGUCUAGAUCUUUUCUCUCUACAAUAUUGCAUGCACAAAUCUGUUGUUUACAAUCGUGAAAAAAUCUAUAAAUACCUUCCAUAGUAUAACAGAACAAAUAGCAAUAAAAUAAAAUGCUGUUAACGCACCACUAAUUUAAUUUCUCUCUCUCUCUCUCUCUCUCUGUAUAUAUGUACGUAUACAUGUGUAUAUGUAUGAAUAUAUACAUAUAUAUAUAUAUAUAAUCAUCCUCCUCAUCACCACCAUUUAACAUCCGCCUUUCAUGCUAGCAUUUGUGGGAUGGUUUGACAAGAGCUGGCCAGGCAGUACCCUGCACCAGACUUCUGUAACUGUUUGGCAGGAUUUUUACAGCUGGAUGCCUUUCCCAACACCAACCACUCAGCAGAGUGGACUUAGUGCUUUUUAUGUGGCACAAGCACAGGUGCGGUCAGUUUUGGCAAGGUUUUUACAGCUGAAUGCUCUUCCAAAUGCAAACCACUUUACAAUGCAGACUGGGUGCUUCUAAGUGGCACCUGCACUGACAGGGUCACCAAGUAUUUGCAAGACAGAAAAAACUCUUGAGAGGGGGAGGGGCAUUAAAGGAGGUGAUCUUGUGUUGGAUGAUGAAAGGCUAUAGUGAGGCAGAGAGACAGACAAGUGUCUUGCUGUAGAGGAGAUACAUGGUUACCUGGCCAGAGAGAGAGAUCAGGAAUGAAGACCGAAGCAGGUGUGCUGCUGCAAAAGAAAUACGUGGAAGUGCAGGAGAGAGAGAGAGAGGGAGACAGCAGGAUAGAGAUGGUGGCAAAGUGCCUGGCAUACACAAUGAUACAGUGAGACAGAGCAUGGGUGGAACACACAGGUCAGAAGCUAGCAGAGGGCUAAGAGGACAGGUUUGGGGAGUGGGAGGUAAACCUAGUGCAUGAAGUGGAAAUGUUAGGAAGAGAAGAGAUGUAGAGAUGUAGUUUGGUAUGUUGUGGUAGAGUGUGUGAGAAAUUUUGUUAAGUGUGGGUGAAACACUGCACUUCUAGAACUCAGUUUCGCUGAUGUGGGUGGGUCUUCUCAAGAACUUCAUAUUGCUAGACAUCUUGGUUCAUUGUCAUUUCCUUCGUGAGGCCCAACAUCCUGAGAUCGGUCCUUACCACUUCAUCUCACGUCUUCCUGGGUCCCCCUGUUCCAUGGGUACCAUCUACUUUCAGUGAUCAGCACUUUUUUAUGCAGCUGUCCUCAUUCAUACACAUCACAUGUCCAAACCUAUUUCUUUAUUACCCACAAGGGGCCAAACACAGAGGGGAUAAACAAGGACAGACAUAGGUAUUAAGUCGAUUACAUCGACUCCAGUGCGCAACUGGUACUUAAUUUAUCAACCCCGAAAGGAUGAAAGGCAAAGUCGACCUCGGCGGAAUUUGAACUCACCACGUAAUGCAGAGGAAAUACCGCUAAGCAUUUCGCCCGGCGUGGUAACGUUUCUGCCAGCUCGCUGCCUUCACAUGUCCAAACCAACGUAGUCUUCUCUCUUGCAUGCUACAUUUGAUUCCUCUUAUGUCCAACUUUUCUCUUAAUACAUUUUCACUCUGUCGUACAUGUGCAUUGAUGUUGCACAUUCAAUGGAGCAUACUACCUUCAUUUCUCUCUAGUCUAUGCAUGCCUUCUGCAUUCAGAGCCCAUGUUUCACUACUAUGGAGUAUAGCUGUUUGCACACAAGCAUCAUAUAGCCUACCUUUCAUUCUGAGAGACAGCCCUUUUGUUGCCAACAGAGGUAAUAGCUCUCUGAACUUCCUCCACCAUUGCUAAUUUGGUCACCUAGGUAACAGAAACUAUAUAUAUAUUCAAAUGUUCUAGUUUUUGGGUUAAAAAGGAAGAGAUUGCUUAAUGUUUUAUACUCACACACACACAUGUAUUUGAUUAUAUGUAAUAUAUAAAUAUAUAUAUUGACAGGAAGGACUUUAAUGGCAGUAAGAACAUCCUACUGUAAAAAUAAUGCCUUAAUAAUAAGUAUUUUGUUAAGUCAUGUUAGAAUAUAAAGAUAGAUGUUAAAUUAAGGAAUGCUUAUACUUUUAUAUAUUGAGGGUUUAAAAUCCAAUGCCUCACAGUUACUAGUUUCAUUCUUGACAGAAUUCUUAGACUGUGUGAUUUUUUUUGGUUAGAUAUCAGUUGGGUGAAUGGGUGACCUUUUAACAUCGCCAACCCCAUUCUAUUUAUAUAUUAUAAUUAUUAUUUUUGUAAUUACAGAACCCAACAGAUUUACAUACUACAUCCCCAUGCUAACUCAGAUACCAUUACCUCAUACAAAAAUGUCUUCCUUCACGUAAAGAGCAAAGGCUAAAGACCAUGAGAUAACACUUAGAUAGCUCCCCUUUGAGGCACAAGUCUGGGCAAGGUUGUUUGUGGAAGGCCAGCAGUCGCCCAUGCAUACUAGUUUCCCCCCUUCAAGCUACCAAUGUUGUCCAAAGAAAAGGCAAAGGCUGAUACAGCUUGGCACCUGUGACAUCGCAACUCAUUUCUACAGCUGAGUGAACUGGUGCAAUGUGAAAUAAAGUGUCUUGCUCAAGAACACAACACACAGCCUGGUCAUGAUUGUAAGCCUGAUGCUCUGACCACUGAGCCAUGCGCCUUCACUCCUUUAAAUAAAUAUGAAUACAAAUAUAAACAAACCCCUCCAAUAAGUAGACCACAUCACACUUCUGAGUUAAAGAGAUACAACUUCCAUUUAACAAGAAUCUUGUAGUCUGAGGAUUCCUUCCAGAGAUAAAACUACUAGUUAUAGUGAAGUAGGGAAUUUUUCAUUAUCCACAAUAAAAUCAUUACACUACAAAUACAUUGAAAUUUGAUGUAGUUGUAUGUAGUACAUAUUGCUUGUAUAGGGUGUCAUCAAUAACAAUCCCAAAUGAGUUGAAGGCUAUUGCUGAGUAGCUCAAAGUAGUUGAGUCCACUACUCAAAUGUGUAGUACACAAAGCUAUCAGAUGCACAAGAAGGUGGUUUGUGUCCAGCAGGACCUGAGAGAACUUUUAUCAUGUGGUUUCCAAGCUCUCCCAAUUUGAAUCUCCUGAAUGCUUCAUCUGUGGCAUUGCCAUGGUGGCAGCGACUGAACAUAGCUAAGGACUUAAGUGGCUUAUGUUAAGAGGGAUAUACAUGCAGAGAAACUGAAAUUGAAUUGCACAACACACACACAUAAAACAUCUGCAGGUAGAAGACUGGAUUCCAUAACCAUGAGAUUACAGUUUUCAAUGUAUCCUAAUUUAAGAUAGUAGAGUGUGAUUUUAAGAUAACUUGAUUACUCUUACUCUUAACUCUUUUACUUGUUUCAGUCAUUUGACUGCAGCCAUGCUGGAGCACUGCCUUUAGUCGAGCCCGGGACUUAUUCUUUGUAAGCCCAGUACUUAUUCUAUCGGUCUCUUUUGCCGAACCGCUAAGUGACGGGGACGUAAACACACCAGCAUCGGUUGUCAAGCAAUGCUAGGGAGACAAACACAGACACACAAACAUACACACAAAUACAUAUAUAUAUAUACAUAUAUACGACAGGCUUCUUUCAGUUUCCGUCUACCAAAUCCACUCACAAGGCAUUGGUCGGCCCGAGGCUAUAGCAGAAGACACUUGCCCAAGGUGCCACGCAGUGGGACUGAACCCGGAACCAUGUGGUUGGUAAGCAAGCUACUUACCACACAUAUCUAGCUGAUCAUACAUCCACACAAGGCUCUUCAGUUAGCAUAGGCUUCAAGUAAACUUUUGUUUUGUUGUAUAAUCCAGGUCAGUCAUAGUUGAAAAGCUAUGGUGAAAGAUAUCUAAUUUUGACAAUCUCAUUAUUUCUAUAUCAGGAACGAAAUUAUUUAACAUAGUCUUUAUUUAACCCUUUUGAUACCAACCCACCUGAGACUGCCUCUGUUUUUAUGAUAGAAAGUUCCUGUUCUAGAAAUGAUCUUAAUUAAAACCUUCCAUCAUGAUAAUUUAUGUUCCAAAUACCAGCUUAAUAAUGAGAAAUUUAUCUUUUGAUUGGAAUCUUAGGAAGCAAACUUUGAGGACCUGAUGACUUAUUAAGUUAUUUGAAACCACCCACUCUUAUACCCUUCCUAAGCUGCCACAUAAAGCUGCUGGUGAGAUUGAAUACAUAUUGAUAUGAUUCUGUAUAUUUAUUUAUACAUAGUAUACCUGUACUUGCUUUUUCUGUGUAAAUCACUGCCUAUAAAUUUUACUUAGUCUCUUUCUCUUGACAGUAACCUUCAUUAGAGUAGAUUACAACAUUAUUCUAUUUAUUUUAUAUGAUAGAAUAUUAACAUUAAUUGUUUCAUAGAUUGAUUCUAUGAGUAUUUUAUCCCAAUUUUAAUAGUUUAACAUUUUUUUAGUUCUAUUAAUUAUUAUUUCAUUAAGUAAUUCUGUUCUCUUAUAUAUACACCCACAAACAGAUGUGAUGAUUUCUAUGUAUGUUUAUGAUGGAAGUGCUUGAAUGGACAGUAAGUAUGCAUAUAUUGUAAACUGAGCUUUCUAUUUUUUAACUGUAUUUCAGUUUUAAAAGAAUGAUGCAGGAAAAUGUCUGUCUUUGCUUUAUCUAUGUUCUGAAUACUAUAUUUUCCCAAGCCCACAUUCUAAAUGUGAUGUAAUAUGCUUUGCUGUUUUUUUUCUAUUCCCCUUACAUCAUCUUACAAAAUAUAUGUAUUUGGUAUAUUAUUUAAUUUGCAAUUACUUGCAUCUUUAAAUCUUUCUUUUCCUGUUUUGCUUUAAAAAAUUACAAAGAAAAAUGCAACUUCAAACAUAAAAGUAAUAUAUAUUACUUUUACAAAACCUGGUGAAGAAACUCAUAAGAAGGUUUAAUAUUGUCAAUGCAUGAGACUAAAUACAACUUAUUGUUCAAAAUUUCAGUGUGAUUAUCAAAAGUAAAACAAAAAAUCUGUACAUGGUAUUUUUUCAGUUGUGAUAUUUUUAUGUACAUAUGUAACAAUACUACUACUAAUAAAAACUAUUCUGUAAAUAAACUGUUUAAAUGAUAAUGCAAUGCUAAGAUGGAAAGUUUUAGCAUACAAAUAUGGUUGUGGAUUCAAUGAUAUUUUUUAUUCAGAUUUGAUGUCUUUCAAUAUUCUUGCAUUAUUAUUAUUAUUAUUUUUAUUCUAUAAAAAAAAAGUAACUAUAUUUGCUUUAUCUAAUAGAUGUCAG